rnacentral:rRNA from 1 species
UGGGGAAUAUUGGACAAUGGGCGAAAGCCUGAUCCAGCCAUGCCGCGUGGAUGAUGACGGCCCUAGGGUUGUAAAGUCCUUUCGACGGGGAAGAUAAUGACGGUACCCGUAGAAGAAGCCCCGGCUAACUUCGUGCCAGCAGCCGCGGUAAUACGAAGGGGGCUAGCGUUGCUCGGAAUCACUGGGCGUAAAGCGCACGUAGGCGGCUUUCUAAGUCAGGGGUGAAAUCCUGGAGCUCAACUCCAGAACUGCCUUUGAUACUGGAGAGCUUGAGUUCGGGAGAGGUGAGUGGAACUGCGAGUGUAGAGGUGAAAUUCGUAGAUAUUCGCAAGAACACCAGUGGCGAAGGCGGCUCACUGGCCCGAUACUGACGCUGAGGUGCGAAAGCGUGGGGAGCAAACA